GUAUAAAAUAUGGAAACAUAAGAUAAAAGGAUGUAAGGUUCAAUACUGAACAUAAUCUUAAACAAUAAAAUAUCUGAAUAAGGUGGUAUCACAGUACCAAAACAAAACUAAAAAUACUAAAGUCUGAAUCUGAAAACUCUGUAAUCAUCUGAAAAGCCUCUACUGUCUGGAUAAGGAGUUGAAGGAACAUGUCUCCAACUAACUCCCUAAACUGAAAAUAAACUGAAAUACUAGAAUGAUAAAUGUAAUGAUCAUGUCCUCGAAAGAUGAUGGCUCACUGCUAACUGAACUGCUACUGCUGAUCUGGAACCUGUGCCUUAGAACCUAUGGUGAACAUAAAAAGAAAGCACCAUAGCACAAAUGUGUCAGUACAACUAAAGUACUGAGUAUACGUGGGGGUAGGCUAAAUACAUGGGGUUUAUAUGCGUGAACAUGCUGAAAACUAUAAACGGGAGAAUACAUACUUGCAUACGUAACUGUUACUAAAGUCGUGGAGAUACUGACUACUGAGUUUGAAUUCUGACAACAUGAGUUUAUUGAUACUGAGAUACUAAAUGACAAAGAGAAUGAUAACAUGGAUGACUGUAUCUAACAGUCCUAAUUCUGGUGGAACUAUCUGAGUUCCAUAAUAUAUCUGAAUAUCUGAGUCUAAGAUCAGUCCUAGCUAACGGGUGAUCUCUGAAUAUGUUGAUAAAUAAGAAUGACUUAACUUGGUCUGAGAUCAGUCCUACCUAAUGGGUGAUCUAUAAAUCUAAUAAUACUUAUACUGACUGACUAUAAAUGAGAUCAGUCCUAUCUAGUGGGUGAUCUCUAAGUCUGAUGUUACUGAUACUAAAACUGUAGUUGAGAUAAGUCCUUUCUAAUGGGUGAUCUUGGAGUCUAAUGACAAUAAAACUGUGAGAUAUAUUCAUGUAACCGACAUUCCCCAUGCUAUACUGACUGGGGUCCAAUCUCUGCCUUGACUAGAAGGGUGUCAGUACCACGCCACUAGUAAAGACAACUGCUGUGGAGUCAGUCCUAAUCUAGCGGGUGACUCCUGGGACCAGUCCUAUACAUAUAAAUGCGCUAACGGGUGAUCCCUGAUUAUGUCAGUCCUAUCUAACAGGUGACAUCUCGUACCUACGUUGGCUACGUAGUUAUGGAAUUCAAGGAUGACUGCUAAGAAUCACACCCUAAUCUGACACGUAAGUUCCCAUCCUUGGGUUUUUUCGGUACUGAAUCCUACUCCUAUCUAAAUAAAACUAAACAUGAUUAUCUGAGCUGAUUUGACUAAUUGAACUGAACUAAUUCUGAGUUUACUGAGUUCCUUGGACUGAUGAAACACUACUGUUAUCUGAUAGCUAACUGAGUCAUGAGAUUACUGAUCUUAUUGAGUACUGAGUUCAUAAGAUUUCUAAGAGUACUGACUUAUAGAGAUUUCUAAAGUUAUUAGGUACUGAUGUUACUGAGAUUAACUUAGCAUAACUGAUAUUUCUGAACUACUAAAUGAGGAAUCGCACCUCUGGAUAUUUAUGGUUUGAAGCCCUUGACUAGAAGGCCACAAUUGUUCCUAUUUCAUACAAAGAAAAUUUGUGAGUUUAAAAAAGGAUGGUUGGCUUGUGGCUUUGGCAUUUGAGGAUAUAUCUCUUGCACAUAUCCUAUUUAGAUCUUGCUUCCAAUCACUAGCAUUUUCCUUUGACUUGUUGCAACCUUGGUCCAAACUCAGAACAUUAAGAGUGACACUUAAACAAACAAAGUAUCUCUGCUUUGCUAUGUUUCUCAGACAAUCCCCUUUAAACCUUAGUAUUUCCAUGGAUUCCCCAAAUUUAUGUGUUGGCAAAAACCAUCUGCAUGCCUUGUUCCAACUAACAAUCUUGUUUCUUUCAUGUGUUGGCCCUUUGUCUUGCUUUGUGCAAUUAAUGAAGCUGGUAGCCAAUUUUGAAAUCUUUUUUCACUUGUUUUGACAUGGAUUUGACUCAAAGACAAGAGAAAAAAUGACAAUGAUUUGUUUUUUACUUGGAUAACUGACUCAAGAGAAUAAAAUAAAAACACAAAGAAGAAAGAAAAGACAAUGAACAUCCCCAUUUGAAACAAAGAAACAAAAAAUUUAUCUAAAAAUAACAGUCAACUCUAAUGAUUAUGCCAUGCAUUUUGGAUUAGUUUGCUUGAUCUUUUCAUCCACACUUUCUAUCAGUUGUUGUUAAGUUAAUAGUCUUAAAACUGAGCUGCUUCCUUAGGUCAAUUGUAUUCAAGAUUUCAUUCGGCUAGUGACACCUUGAAGGAUUUUUGCUAACAAGCCUCUCUCAUUUUUUUUUCUCAUCUUAUCUUUGACUUAUGGUGUCUGUGACGAUUAAAUUAAAUAAUGAGGAUUAACUUAUGCUCUAGUUUCUUUUAACUGGAUAAUUCUAAAUUAUUUAUUUGGUUGGACCGAGCACAGAGUAGGGAAACCUACAUAUUUCACUCCCAAGAGAGGAGAAUCAAGUCACACGUAGUUUCGACAGCUUGUUCUUUCUUUUGAUCUGAUUUUUCUUUCUUUUUUUUUUUGGCUCUUUUAUCUUUGGGAUUCUUUUUUUGACUCCAUUUUUCUUGACACUUCUUUUAUUUCUUUUUGGACACAUUUUUGUCUCUUUUUUGAAACUUUUCUGAUUUUAUGUUUUUACUCAACUUUUUUACUUGGACGUUGCUGACUCUAUCCUGAUUCCAAAAGAGGAGUAUGAAAGAAAGUAGAACUAAGGCUCAAAUGGGGUAAAUAAAGGAUGACACAAUGUUUGGAUAGAAGAAUAAAAUGCCUUCAUCAUAUCAAUCCUUAAAAAUACAAGCAUGUAUCAUGCAAUAUGAAAUGAAAAAUGAAGAUCAUUUACGACACUUUAACAACACUAACUUUAACUGAGUAUGUGUGCCACUUUUUAUUCUAUACUUGUCUAGCAUACAACUCCACCUUUGUUAUUCAUCCCUCACAUCGAAUGAUCCAUGCUUUUGUGGAGCUAUUUUUCUUUUUGUUCCUCUUGAUAUAGGAUCACACAACCACUGUUUGACCUCAUUGAGACAUGUAUUUUAAUUGAUGGCCCAGUUAUUCUUGUGAUUCUCAAAAUAAUUGUCUUAAUUUUCAAAGAAGGCUUCAACUUGUCACUAAAUGUCCCAUCACUCUACCUAUUUUUUAGAUGCUUUUUCUAACUUUAGCCCUCUGAUUCAACGUUUCAUGGUUAAAUUGGAUUUUAAAAUCUAGCUGAAAAUUCCGAAGGUAUGUCUACCACUAGAAUUAACAUAAAAUGUACUGUCUAAAGAAAACAAACAAACAACACAGAUGUAAAACACAAAGGGAAAGGGACACUUCAUUUAGUUUAAAUAAAAGAUAGAAGGGUUUAACAUAACCGAAAAAAAUAAAACAAGAUAAAUCCUGAACUACAACCUUAACAUAAUUCAGAUAGUAGAAAAAAAUAAAACAAACUACCAGACCACUUCCUAGUAGGAGAGGGGUGACUUCUCAAUUACUCAGCCUGAUGUAUUAGCCUCUAGUUUGCAUAUCAACAUGACUAGAUCUUCCACCACUGUCAGAUACAUUCCCUCCAAAAAAUAAGUUCUGGAUCCUCAUGCGUAACUCAUUGCCUCCCACACAUUGUGCAGUACCACGUCCUGGUGAUCAACUCUGUGGGACGGUUGAAGGGCCAAUGUUUUGCACCACAAUCAAUUUUUCUUGAAUCAUCUUCUCUAUUUUUCUUUAGAAAAUAUUACAAUCUUCAGUAACUAUGACCUUGCAUAUUAGAAUGAUAAGCACAUCGUACAUUAAGAUCAAUAUUUUUUUACUAUUGAUCAGGCGUAUACCCAGGGAUAGGAGUAAUCAUGCCCUAUUAUCUCAAUGUAUGGAUCAAACUGGUAUAGGAAUCCCCAAUUGGCAUAAAAUUAUCCUUUGUCUUCUUCCUCAUUGCAAAAUCUAGCCUCGAAUAAACUUAGAUUUAGAGGUUCCUUGGUAAAUUUGUGGGGGUCGAGGAUGAUGUUAAGGGACAGGUGCAUGCCAUUAUGGAUAAGAAGGUGGAUGAGUAUACUGUUGUGUAUUAUUCAAAGGAUACUGAGGAAUUAUAAAGGAAUAUCUUGGAUUUUGGAGAAAAGAACCUUCUUGUAAGUAGUUAUGUGGAUCUAAUAUGUAAGCUUGGGAUUGAGGCUGACAGUAUUGGUCGGUUAGACCUAUCAAACUCUGCUUUGGCCCUAGUAUGACAAUAGGUGUGUUUUCCUUCUCAUUUUCUUAAGUUUCCCUUGAUUGAUUGCAACGUAGUCCCAAAUGUUCCACAGAAUCCUUAUGUCCAUCAGGCUCCCUAAAUUUUGAUGUCUCAAAGCUUGAAGAAAGGUUAAUAAUUAAAAACAUGCCCUAGGUUUUAUAUGAAACAUCUUCAUGUCCCACAAGUCCCAUAAAACUUUUCAUAUCAUUUUCUGGCUUUUCUAGCAUGCUAGAUUUCGUAGUAAGAAAUUUUUGCAUUCCACUUAACUUAACUGUAGGUUUAAGAGUAUAACAACGAUCAUUAGGAGUAUUGAAUGUGGAUUCACUAGUGGACUAAGGAAGCACAAUCAUUGGAUUGAUAGCUAAAGUGGAAGCCUCAGUAGAAGAUUGAGCAACAAAAGCACAGACAGUAUAUGGUGCUAUGAAUGUGUUAGGCUUAUACUGAGGAGCUAAAGAAGGGGUGGUGGAAGUAUUGGGCUGAAUUUGAUGUGGAAUGAAUUCCGAGGCAUAUCAUGGUGCAUCAACAACAACAAUAGGAAACUUUGUAAUUUUGGUGGAAAACUCAAGGUAUUUACUGGGCUAAUAGUGGGGAACGGAGGAGGAGGUAGCCCACUGGCCCAAGGUCAAUACAUUUCCAUCAUUUGUUGCCUUAGUCUUAAAUUCUCUUCCUUUAAACUCUCAUUUUCCUGACUCUUUGUUUGAUCUAUGAGGUCACUCUCUAUAUCCUUAUUGGACACAACUAACCCUUCCUUGGAUGUGGUGUGACGUGAAGAAACAACUAGAAUACCACAAACCAACCACCUUAAAUUAACUGAAUAGAAAUAACAAACGUGUUAGAGUUCAAUACUUUCUCAAAACCUUUUUUUUUUUAAAAGAUCACCAAACCUAAGAAGGAAGCCUACGUAUCUCACUCCCGAAAGAGGUGUGCGUAGUUUGUGAAGUCUUACCAAAAUGGCCAAUCAAACUCUUUUUCUCUUUUUCUCUUUGAAGCUUUGAGAAGAAAAAAAGAACAUAAUAAAUUGUCAAAAAAAUUGAAAUGACACCUACUUUAAAUGAAGAGUGAAGAAAAUCUUUUUUGAAUUUUUCAGAUUUCUAUACAAAAUAAAACCUAUUAUUACCAAAAAAAAUCUUUUUUGGUUUUAAUUUUGAAUUUCAUACAAAAAUGAAACUUGAACCUAUUAAUAGUUUUCUUUUACAGAUGCAUAUGACACCUACUUUAAAUGAAGAGUGAAGAAAAUCUUUUUUGAAUUUUUCAGAUUUCUAUACAAAAUAAAACCUAUUAUUACCAAAGAAAAAAAUCUUUUUGGGUCUUCAAUUUUGAAUUUCAUAUGAAAAUGAAAAUUAAAACUAUUAAAGGAAUUGAAACUCUUUUCAUAGUUUUCUUUUACAGAUUUAUAUGGCACCUACUCUAAAAGAAGAGUAACGAAAAUCUUUUUUGAAUUUUUUCAUAUUCAUAUACAAAAUAAAACCUAUGAUUACCAAAGAAAAUCAUUUUGAUUUUUUAAUUUUGAAUUACAUAUGAAAAUGAAAACUGAAACUAUUAAAGAAUUUUUUUUUGCAAUUUUGUUUUAAAGAUGUAUAUGACACCUACCCCGAUAAAGAGUGAAGAAAAUUCUUUUUGGAUUUUUUUCAAAUAAGAUCCCCAAACCAACAAUAGGCUGCCUACAUAUCUCACUCCCGAGAAUGGAGAAUCAGGGAUCAUAGUUUGUCUAGAUUGGACAAUUUAAGACUAAAUAACAAACUGAACCCUGACUUGAGAGACACGACGAAAGACAGACGAUAAAAAACGUCAAUAAAAUCUUGUUGUUGGGGUUUUUGAUUUGACAGUUCACAUAAAACUGACACCAACACCUAUGAAAGAAAAUCUUUUUUGAUAUUUUCAUUAUAUGAAAUGUACAAAAACUUCUACCAUUUUUUUUGAAUUUUCCUUUAUAUAAAGCUCCUAUUGAAAAAAUAUUUUGAGUUUUCUAUUGUGAAUGCUUACGAAAGAAUUUUUUUUUUCUUUGAUAUUUUGAUUUUUGACAAAAUAGGUAGAAAAGGUAAAAAGAAAUCCUUUUUUUUAUUUUUUAAAUUGUAGAAAAAAAGAAAAAAGAAAGAAAACAAAAGUCAUAAAGAACUCUAAAAACUAUAAACUUCUCUCUUUUUUUUUCUUUUCUUUUUUCGAUUUUUCCCUGCCUACACAUCUUUUUUAAUUCUAGCACAUGUUUUUUUACCAAAUCAAUCCGUCAAAUGAUCUUAUUACCUUACAAAAUGCAAAAAUUACCAUGUAAGGAUGCUUUACGGGUGAGUCUCUCAUAAAGGACGAAAUGGGUCCUGCUAGGUCGAAAUAUGAUGCAAGUAAGCAUGACCUAAAGGCUGACCUACGCUGGGGUCCACUAAAAGGCCGUUUGGGGGAUCAUAUGGUCGAUAAUGGCUGCUUUGAUUUCUUCCAACUCCAUACAAUCAAUGGCUCCCCCCCAAAAUAAAGGUGACUUAACUAGACUUCGUGUACACGACGUGUACUCCGGGACUUGUUGCAAAAAAAAUUGACUCGGGUUAUGCAAAUGAUGCUAGAUAUAAAGAGGUAACACAUAAAAGAAUACUGUAAAUAUAUAGCACGUAGGCACUCAACAAUGAUAAAACAGUAACACAAACACUAACACAAACAAUGUUUAUACACCCACAAUUUCAAAAUAAGAUGAUACAACUCUAAAAAAUAAGCUUGAAUUCUGGAAAAUCCCUAGCAGAGUCGCUAGUUACACCCCUUUUUAGCCAAAAAAGAAUCAUUUUAAGGUUCGAAAGAGUUUUAUUAUUAAAGUGACAAAAUGAAGAUUUUUUUUUGAAAAAAGAUUAUUUUUUCAAAACUCAGAGUCGCCACUUGGCAUAAUUCGGUAUGCCAAGUCACCUUUGGAAAAUCCUUUUCAAAAUGAUUUGACUCUUUAAAAUUGAUUUGCAAAUGGAGAUUUCCGCUAAAGAAUUCUGUUGACCAAGGGGAAGGUGUUAGGCACCUCUCGAUCCCGUGGUUCGACCAUGGUCACUUGGUAGUGUAUCGGCUAGUAUGAAAUUACGAAUAUAUAAACCCACAAAAUACAUAAAUAAGCAAACACACAUCAAACAACAAUCCAAAACCAAAAUAAUAAUGUCUAGUCCAAUUAUACAUUCCAAAAUAGAAAAAUAAAAAAUACAAAUCCUAUUCUAAAUUAGUCCUAGACUAAACUCCACCCGACGCCUUGAGCCUUCGUUACGAAUGUCUUCCAGGUACAAAAUACUUUAGGGAAUUCACCGGCACACAGAGACCUCGAGGCAUUCCCCAGCCAAAUGAUACAUUUUAUGAAUCGUGAUAAACUAGAAACAUUCAACACACAUUCCAUAUCCAGACAUUCAACAAAACACUUAUUCUUAAGUUUUACCUACUCGAACCUAUAUUUGCCUAUCCAUUUCAACAUGUCAUAAUUCUAUCACGUUCUAACAACAUUCAUGCUUACUCUAAAUUAAACGAAACAACAAUAAAUCAAAAUCGAUCUAUAUUGACCUCUUUUAUCAAUUUCUCAAUUCCACCCCUUCUAACUUCAUUUUUUAUCAAUCACACUAUCAAAGCUACUGAAAUUUGUUCCACAUAUCAAUGAAAUCAUGCCGUUAUGCAAAUAAUCAUAACAUCAACAAAACCCAACAAUCAUACUCACCCCACACAUAAACACAACAUCGAUAUACCAAAUUAAAAUGAAAUAAGGAGCAAGAGUUGUAGAGAUGGACCUUUCGAUAAUCAAAUUUCAUUGAUAAUAAUAAUUAAAGAAGCCCAAACUUGAAAUCUCGAACAGAAUACCUUGGCAACGAACCCAAAAUCCAAUUCGGUAUUUAUUAACGCAUUUUCGAACAGAUACGAAACCCUCAAAAAACCUUAAUAAUAAUAAAAACCUUAAUCCAAACACCCAAAUGACGUUUCCAAACCAGAUUUUGCUGGAAAGAACCAAAAAUAUAAGGGGAUUUUGGAUUUCAUGGGUCGUUCUCCGAUGGGCCAGUUGUCGGGACUACUCGAAUAUCACCGGAAUCAGCUUAAACAGGCUGAUUCCAGCUAACUUAGUGGCUAGUUUCAAAGAUUAAGAGGGAGGGACUAUUUUUUUGUGGUUUUUCAGUGGGUUUACGCCAUUGGACAGGUAUUUUUUGGUAAAUAUUUUUAUUUCCUAUUUUUCGAUCUCCUUCUGGCCAAACUCCGAUUAACCCCAACCCGUCAUCUUUUUUCUACUCACUAGUUUUACCCUCCAUGAUUGUGUGAGUGUGUGUGAAUUAUGUGUGUUUUUUGUAUGAAUGAGUAUGUGAUUCUGUGUGUCUAUGUGAUGGUCUAUAUUAUGAAAAAUGAAAAAAAUGGUCAGAUCCCUUCUGUGAAUGGUGUUUAUCAAAGUAGAAUGUGAGAGUGUGUGAAAA
rnacentral:lncRNA from 1 species